rnacentral:misc_RNA from 1 species
CGUAUGCAUGCUCGAUCUCUUGUUUUCCUGUUGAAACUGGCUGGUAAUCCUUGAACCAUUCGCAUGCACUCAGUGGCACUUUCAGAACCUUCUUUUCAAAUAUAUCAAAUUUGUUGAGAAACAGCAUGAAGGAUGUUUUCUCAAAACAUGGCUGCUUCAGGACCCAUUCAAAAAGCUCCUUAGUCUCCAUCACACGAUUCUUGUUUUCAUCCUCAAAAAGUGUUUGAUCAUACUCGCUAAUUGCAGCACAAAAAAAUUACAGCUGUAACUCCUUCAAAUAGAUGGAUCCAUUUCCGCCUCUCAUUUCUCUGGCCACCAACAUCAAAAAGUCUAUAUACUUCACCGCUUUUCUUGUUCUCUCCAACAGGGCUGAACUGGAUCUCUACAACACCAGUUGUACGAACUCUUGCAUAUAGAACAUCUUCCUUAGUUGGAAUAUAAUUUGCAUCAGACAACCUUUGCAAAUUUUCCAGGAAAUAAUGGGCACAGUCUGGAACUUGAA